UACGGAGGGUGCAAGCGUUAUCCGGAUUCACUGGGUUUAAAGGGUGCGUAGGUGGGGAGGUAAGUCAGCGGUGAAAUCCCCGAGCUUAACUUGGGAACUGCCAUUGAUACUAUCUCUCUUGAAUACCUUGGAGGUGAGCGGAAUAUGUCAUGUAGCGGUUAAAUGCUUAGAUAUGACAUAGAACACCAAUUGCGAAGGCAGCUCACUACACGGUCAUUGACACUGAGGCACGAAAGCGUAGGGAGU
rnacentral:rRNA from 1 species